rnacentral:rRNA from 1 species
CCUACGGGCGGCAGCAGUAGGGAAUUUUCGGCAAUGGGGGGAACCCUGACCGAGCAACGCCGCGUGAACGAAGAAGUUAUUCGUAAUGUAAAGUUCUUUUAACAGGGAAGAAAGAGAAAUUUGACGGUACCUUAAGAAUAAGCUCCGGCUAACUACGUGCCAGCAGCCGCGGUAAUACGUAGGGAGCGAGCGUUAUCCGGAAGUAUUGGGCGUAAGGGGUGCGUAGAUGGCAUAGUAAGUCUUUUGUAAAAAUGCUGGGCUCAACCCAGUAGAGCAAAAGAUACUGCAAAGCUAGAGUAUGACAGAGGCAAGUGGAACUACAUGUGUAGCGGUAAAAUGCGUAAAUAUAUGUAAGAACACCAGUGGCGAAGGCGGCUUGCUGGGUCGAUACUGACAUUGAGGCACGAAAGCGUGGGGAGCAAACAGGAUUAGAUACCCGAGUAGUC